CUGCAGGCAUGCACUCUUCUUCUCUCUUUUCACUGCUCUUUCUGUCUCUCUUCACUUUUUUUUUUUCAUGAUUUUGUUCAGUGCUCUCUUCUCUCUUCUCUUUCUGAGUCUGUGCUGAGUUAUAUGACUGCAAGAUGUCACAGAGAGCACAGUCUUUUCUUCACUCUUCUCUUUAUUUUUCUUUCAGAACACUCAUUUUUUCUCUUUUCUUUUGUCUAUCUCAUCUAUCUUUUCUCUGCUGUUAGAAGCACAGAUAGUUCUUGAAUCAACUGAGAGAGUUAUCUCUCUUCAUUCACUAUAAAGUCUUUCAGACACAGCAGUGGCAGUUUCCUUGGAAAUCACACUAUAGCUCCACCAUAAAUGAUCAUAUAUCAGAUCAGAAGUGAAUACACAGCUCAGUAAAAUCCUUUUCAAUGAGCUGAGUCUUUUCAAAAGUUGCCAUCUGAAUUCUGUUUUCUUUCUCUCUAUGUAUAUAGAAAUCUCUUCAGCAUAGCAUGUCUCCAUGUCCUUC
rnacentral:sRNA from 1 species